GGGAGUAAAUGGGGUCUGGUGGCCUCCACGGACUUCAAAUCCGCUGACGGGCAGGUCUCCCUGUCUGUGGUAGGUUCGAUUCCUACAUACUCCCGCCA
rnacentral:tRNA from 1 species